rnacentral:rRNA from 1 species
UACGAAGGGGGCUAGCGUUGCUCGGAUUGACUGGGCGUAAAGGGCGCGUAGGCGGCUGGCCAAGUCAGAUGUGAAAUUCCCGGGCUUAACCUGGGGGCUGCAUUUGAUACGUGUUGUCUUGAGUUCGGAAGAGGGUCGUGGAAUUCCCAGUGUAGAGGUGAAAUUCGUAGAUAUUGGGAAGAACACCGGUGGCGAAGGCGGCGACCUGGGCCGACACUGACGCUGAGGCGCGAAAGCGUGGGGAGCAAACAGG